rnacentral:sRNA from 1 species
AUUGAUACAAUAUUAAACCAAUAUUGGCAGUGACUGAGAUAAGACAUUGUUUGUUGUAUGAUUUUCCUGUUCUUAAAAACACUUCCCAAUUUAUAGUGUACGUACAUUGGUACAAACCAUGUUGACACAUACUUCUUGGAGUCACAGCUGGUGUACGGUCACCCGAGUAAGAAAUGUUAUCUCCACCAGGUACACGCUAACUUGUGUACGUACACUCUGCCAACAGACGACUGAAUUCCCCUGGUAUGAGAAUGACGUUCUCCUCAACAUUUCCUAUUCCAUAUUCUUCAACAAUUACAUCGUUCCACUUGUUGUAAUCAUAAUCUUCGCCAUUACUUUCACUACCAUCAAUAGUAGGAUCGAGGGUACUUCCCCCCAUAGAUCCAUCGUCACCCUGAUAAUCAUCAUACCCAUCACCAUCUUCGUUGUCCCCCUCCUCUUCAUCCUCAUCUGUUUUAUCGUCUUCAACAUCGUCUUGCUCAUCUACGGCCUCAUUAUUUUCAUCAACAUUUGAAACACGGUCACUUUCAGCAUCGUCACCAUGAGUCCUAGAGACAUUAUUCUCGAGUGUCUUGACGGUUGUAAUGAAAGAGACAAACAAGUUGAGAGAAGGAUACCUACCACGAAUCAUAAAGAACGUAUUCAACCCCACUUGACUGUCAAUGUAGACAGGAAGGCGUUUAGUAUCUAUCAUCACUAACAUCUCUCCCGGCAUCCAGUAACUAAUUAUGGGAUUGAUCUCUGUGGACUUCAAACUGAAAGCCUCGCUUAGUGUACGUACAAAUUCCGUGUACGUCAUGUUUUCCUUAACACGUACACAUCGACCAAACAUGUCUUUCUUUAGUUUAAAUUUUCAUUAUUCUUCUUUGCAUCUUCACUCACCGACCAUAAUAAAUACAGGAAUAUCCAUUACCCAACAACAUUAUAAAUUCAGGAGAAACCCAGUAAAUGCAACUGAAAACAUGAUUAUAUAUACAAAAACAAAUAGAAUUUCGAUAUACACACUUAUAAACAUAAGUAUUUACACAUUUAUCAUUUUCAACCAACAAAAUUGAAAAUAAAAUAUUUCUGG